rnacentral:rRNA from 1 species
AUUGAACGCUGGCGGCAGGCCUAACACAUGCAAGUCGAGCGAGUGGCGGACGGGUGAGUAAUGUAUGGGGAACUGCCCGAUAGAGGGGGAUAACUACUGGAAACGGUGGCUAAUACCGCAUACUAUAGGAUGAACCCAUAUGGGAUUAGCUGGUUGGUGGGGUAAAGGCUCACCAAGGCGACGAUCUCUAGCUGGUCUGAGAGGAUGAUCAGCCACACUGGGACUGAGACACGGCCCAGACUCCUACGGGAGGCAGCAGUGGGGAAUAUUGCACAAUGGGCGCAAGCCUGAUGCAGCCAUGCCGCGUGUAUGAGGAAGGCCUUCGGGUUGUAAAGUACUUUCAGCGGGGAGGCGUUACCCGCAGAAGAAGCACCGGCUAACUCCGUGCCAGCAGCCGCGGUAAUUC